AGUGAAGAAUUAUUUCCAGAAAAUCCUGGGACAGUAUAGAAAAACCGACUCCCUCAACCUGAAAUGGAGUUGAGAGACCAAAGAAUAAUUCAGACAAGUCCACUCUGGCGAGUUAGAUGAGUUUAUUAGAGGUUAUUUGUAUGGACUCUCACCCUAGUCAAGACAAGAAUCCUCUGGGUACUCUAUCCUGGUUGGGACAGGAACUCUUCGGACACUGACUCCUGGUGGUGGCAGAAGUUCUUCAAAGAGUUGAAUUCCACAUCUGCCCAUCGCUGGUGUUGUCUUAAAUCCCUUCCCAGAGGAAUAUGGUAGUUGGCCUUGAAGAAACUGAGAAGCUCUGUGUGGUAUGAGUAUAAAGAGAAGAAAAUGAAAGACACACUUAAAUAUUUAACUCUUUUAUGGAAGGACAGAAGCAUAACACAGAUCAUCAAAAAGACUCAAUGGAGCCCUUGAAGAAGUAACAUUUCAGGAAUUGGCCCUUUGAGGAUUCAGAUUUGAAAUGGAAGAUUCCAGUACUCAUGAAAAUCCACGUAGAAAGAAGCAAGCUCUCCUCUCGUAGUUAAAGGCAUUUAAUGUUGGUUUUGGAAACACACAGUGCCAAGAUGAAGAGAAUGCAGCUUAGAGAGGUUAACUAGUUUGUAAACAUUACACAACUAGUAAAUGAUGAAGGCAGACUUUGAAACUACAUCUGACUUCAGAACAUAAACACUUAACUCUUGUAUUCUAUUAUUUGGAUCAAAGGGAAAGUUUUUCUUUUCUUUUCUUUUCUUUUCUUUUCUCUUCUCUUCU